CCUGGAAAAGAAUCAAAUGCUAAAGUCAAAAGCAGGUCAAAUGCUAAACUCAGAUGCUUUUGAAGGACAGAUGAAUUAACAUAAUAAAGAUAUGAAAAUGUCCCACGUUACUCAGUAAUGCAGUCAGCUAUAUGUUAAGAUUACUCAAAACCCACAUAACACAGCAAAUGCAAGAAGCUUGAGACACUGCAUGAGCAGCCGGGCUGGAGACAGACAGGAGGGAUGAUGACUGCCAGGCAAUCUGCUCUGAAGAGAGAAGGCCAUAUUUACACAUCUGAUGAAAAAGGACCUCGGAGCUGUGCUGCUUUCUAUGUUUCUUCCAGCAAUGACCCAAGUCUACGUCUGACAGCCUCAGUCCAGUAAGGAGCUGUUUUUCUCCAGAGUGAAAAGAUGAUUUUCAUCUUGACUCUGGGAAACCUCAAAGGUAGAUCUCCUCACCAUUACAAGAACAAUUAUAUUUAUAAUUCAAGCUGAGUUGUGACUCCACUUUGCCCUACAUGGGGUUUAAAGAUGGUAAAACUGAACUCCAUUCUCAUUUGGAAGUACCUGUGAGUAAACAUUUUUUCCCACAGCACAGCACUGGCCAUUGCUAACUGACUCCCUGCCAGCUUCUAUAACAAUGGAUUUUGGACUCUUCUAAUUUUUAAAAUUUAGGUCCUAGAAUAUACUUAUCAUUUUAAUUCAACAUGUAGGAAAUCAAAUGGAUUUCGAAGACUCAGAAGUCAUUGUUUCUUCAGUGUUCAAACCCAAUGCCCAGACUUACACUCAGGUGACAUGAGUGUGAUCAGCCACGUGUGGGAACUAAAACAGCCUCUUCCCAAGUAGAGGUUUGGAGAGAUUAUGAUGGAGUCAAUAAUGACUCUCACAUACCCUCUGGGCAUUCACAAACAGCUUGUGAAUGAUCCUGCCAGCAUGUCCUCUUCCUGCACCGGUGACUAACACUUCAGGCUGCUCCAGCAGGCAACUCACAAACCUAGGAGACAGAGACAGGCAAUGAAAGGGUGGAAAGUGAGCUGUCCAGGCCACUGGGCGUCCAUCCUCCCACAGGAGUUUUGUGGACAAAUCCUCAAGCUGAUGCUGGCUAAACCCAACAAGGUUGGAGUGAAAUUUUACAGCAAGAUAAGAUUGACAUUUGGAAUUAUUAUCGACUUAACUGACAAUCUUCCUGCUUUUUCACCUGUGCUCAUAAAAAAUGUUUAAAGCCUAUCUCUGUCAAAGUGUAAGAAAAAAUAUUCAGUCUGUUUUUUUCAGACUAGAAGCUUAGAAAAUGCUACAGUUAAUAAAAGAUGAAAAAAAAUUUGUAUAAUAUAAACCAAGUUAUAUUUAUCCAAUAAAAGCAAUGAUCCAUA